GAUGAACGCUGGCGGCGUGCCUAAUACAUGCAAGUCGAGCGAACAGACGAGGAGCUUGCUCCUCUGACGUUAGCGGCGGACGGGUGAGUAACACGUGGAUAACCUACCUAUAAGACUGGGAUAACUUCGGGAAACCGGAGCUAAUACCGGAUAAUAUAUUGAACCGCAUGGUUCAAUAGUGAAAGACGGUUUUGCUGUCACUUAUAGACGGAUCCGCGCCGCAUUAGCUAGUUGGUAAGGUAACGGCUUACCAAGGCAACGAUGCGUAGCCGACCUGAGAGGGUGAUCGGCCACACUGGAACUGAGACACGGUCCAGACUCCUACGGGAGGCAGCAGUAGGGAAUCUUCCGCAAAGGGCGAAAGCCUGACGGAGCAACGCCGCGUGAGUGAUGAAGGUCUUCGGAUCGUAAAACUCUGUUAUUAGGGAAGAACAAAUGUGUAAGUAACUAUGCACGUCUUGACGGUACCUAAUCAGAAAGCCACGGCUAACUACGUG
rnacentral:rRNA from 1 species